UACGGAAGGCAGCAGUGGGGAAUAUUGCACAAUGGGCGCAAGCCUGAUGCAGCCAUGCCGCGUGUAUGAAAAAGGCCUUCGGGUUGUAAAGUACUUUCAGUCGUGAGGAAGGUGUUAAGGUUAAUAACCUUAGCAAUUGACGUUAGCGACAGAAGAAGCACCGGCUAACUCCGUGCCAGCAGCCGCGGUAAUACGGAGGGUGCGAGCGUUAAUCGGAAUUACUGGGCGUAAAGGGCACGCAGGCGGUUAAUUAAGUUGGAUGUGAAAUCCCCGGGCUUAACCUGGGAAUGGCAUUCAAGACUGGUUAGCUAGAGUCUUGUAGAGGGGGUUAGAAUUCCAUGUGUAGCGGUGAAAUGCGUAGAGAUGUGGAGGAAUACCGGUGGCGAAGGCGGCCCCUGGGACAAAGGACUGACGCUCAUGUGCGAAAGCGUGGGGAGCAAA
rnacentral:rRNA from 1 species